AGCUCAGCAAGCCCAAAUUAGAUUUUUUUUGAAAAAACCCAAACUUAAUAUAAAAUAAAAUAAAAAAUCACGAAAACCAAAGGUCUGUCCCCACGACCCUUCAUUCUCCAUCAAACCUCUGCAAACCAUAUCAUAGAAGUACAUUGUUAAUACCAUGUCAUAAAAGUACAUUGUUAAUAACAUGUCAUAAAAGUGCAUUACUAAUACCAUGC
rnacentral:lncRNA from 1 species